CGACAUUACCAUGGGAACCGCCAGAUGGGGACGCUCCCACUAUAAGCCACGCCCCUAUCUACAACCGUCAUUUGGACCGAUCCAUUCUGACAGUGCGCAAUUGUACCCAUCAUUGAGGCACCCAUCUCCUUCACACCCAUUUACCCGCCAGAGGGCCGAAUUAAUUGGAUACGCUGCAGGGUAAGGAAGAGGAAAAGGGAUGAGACUAUGCGCGCCACUAUGUAUGUGGGGAAGUAAAGUUGCGAGACUUUAAAUGAUUUUGAAAUGUAUAUCCUCGUCGAGAAUCGAUUUGAUAUCGACGACACGGAGACUUUUCCAAAAGAAAAAAAAAUCAAAUCUUCUACCACUCUGGCGUCAACUGUCACGCAAGUGCUCAUUGAAGGAUUAAAACUUUCAUCAGUUUCCGAGUGAUUUUUUGUCGAUCUCCAACAUCUUAAUAUUAUUAUCAACGUCUCCAAAGACCAUACGGAGAUUUGUGCAAGGAUUUUGGAGGGUUAAGUUUUUUAAAUUUAAAUUUUAUAUUGAUGGUUUUGUGAUUUUAGUGAAAAAUGCAAUUUACGUGCUAUAUUAUAUAAUAUAUAUCACGUAAAUUCUCUUUGAAAAAUUAAAGUUAAUAUUUUAAGCUGCAAUGACCUCGUCUAGAAUACUUUAUCCGGUUGAAUCGAUGUUAUGAAACACAACGGAAAUGAGUCCCAGAUUGAUAUAGAAAAGUGCCUUAAAACAAAGGAAUAGUUAUUCAGUGUAGCGUCUUAUCACGCUCUGAUACAAUGCAAGUGAAUCAGAAGAAGCUUAAUCACCGUCGCUAUAAAGUCUAUCACGGAGUUUUCGUGGAAAUUAAAGAAGAAUCACAAAUUUUCGUGAAAAUAAAAAAAAAGCCGGUAGGAUGAUGCGAAUUAUCUUGAAUAGCCCAAAAAUAGAGGUGAAAUAAUCCAUCCGUGGUGCUACGUGACCCUCGACGAUCUUUAGAGUGACACGUGUCAGAAAUUAAUUUGAACAUCGCACCGGGUCCUCAUAAAAAUGAGCAAACAUACAUUAUGUGUAAUGCUGCAUUUGCCUGAUGACUUGGCAAUUUUUCUCCGCGUGCUUCGUUGCGCUCAUUGAGCACCUCGAUCGGAAAUUUUGGUGAUCUUUACACCAUCUACAUAUCCUAUGCUAUCCUCCUGUAUGCUCUCUCAAUGUUUCAUUUCACUGCACAUAAUGCAUCAGGGAUCAACAUACAUUAAAAAAAAUAUCUUAAAAAUAGUCACAGCGCCAUGUAUAGAAGAAAACGCGAUCUAAGAUUACGUUAUCGCCCAUAAUUAUCAGAAGACGACAAUUGAGCUUCAAUCAAAAUCCACGUAUAAUUGUGAUUUAUCGGAAAGGUUGAUUGUAAUGGCAUUUUUUUGUGAAAAAAAAAGACUCACAGCCACAAUCGCCAAUCAAAAUAAUCAAUUUGUAGAUAAUGUAUGAUAUGAGAAAAAAUACGUUGUUUAUUAACAACAAUCCAGAAGCUCAAUGGCAUAUAUUGACUAUCUCACUUGAGGCGUCUCAAUUCACCGACGGUUUAAUUACUUACCCCGCGGUUGAUGUAGCCAAAAAAAGUAAUUCUGCUUCUGAAGUGAUACUCUUGUGAGGGGGACAAUUGACAAUUGAUUACAAAAUGAAUAUUCAAUUGAUUCAUUUUUUAGGCAUUUUUCAAUGAAUUCCCUACACCAGUGGGCAAGAGAAACACUUACCGCAUAAAGAACAUGUCGAAUAAUAUUUUGAUUUCCCAGUACAAUGAGGAAAAGAAUUACACAACAUACUCAUCAUAAUAACUCAUACAAGUUCAGUAGUCAUAAGUGGAGUUUGGAGAGCAUAAGAAAAUUUUGCUAAAAGAUUAGCAUAUUGUUAUGAUAAUUACACAUAGGAGGGGAAUGGGAAAAAAUAUACACUGAAAUUCAUGAAAAACUUUAUUUUUUUAUUUUUAAAGCCUAUUAGAACAUUUUUAUUAUAUAUAUUUUUUUAAGUUAUCAUGAAAAUAUGAAAGAGAUUAAGAAGAAAAGAAAAUAUAAUUUUCCAAAUUAAAAAUAUUUAAAAAACAUAUUGUCCUUAAAUUCUGAUUAAAAUUAAAGGCCUUAAAGAUGCAUUGAGUACAUGGUUGAUUUAUAAUUUUAUUUAAAUGCCUAAUUAAUUUGAUUUUCAAAAUUCUUUGAGUUGUAUUUUAAAUUUAAGUAAAGUCAUGCACAAAGAUUUAUAUAUAUAGAGUCGUCUGUCUGUAUUUAAAUUUAGCUUUAUUUCGUAUAAAAAUUUCAUUUAAGUAGGCUCACGACUAAAACCUAUUUAUUAAUCAUUUGAGCCCUCUCUUUGCUUAAUUUUAAUUAAUUUAUAUCCUCAUCAGCAUUUAGUUAGGAGAAUGAGAAUAUUGAAAUUUUGUCCUUUCAUGACACAUUUUUCCUGAAAAUUCAGCAGAAAAAAAAUCAACUAACUCUGACCAAAUGGCGGGGAAAAUGUGAAGGAUACGUGACACAAAUUCAUAUACCUACGCAUUUGCCUGGAAUAUUUGGGACUCAUGCCAAUCGAUCCUGAUCCGAACCGGUGUGUUCUAUUUGCACAGCGAUUUUCCCUCCUUUUUUCCGGCAUUCUCUCCUUUUUUAUCACACACAACCCAGGCACAAAUUGUAUGAUUUGUCGAGCUUUGUGUGCGGAGGGCAUAGAAAGAGGAACAUUAUGAUUUUCAUAUAAAUAACAUAGCACAAAAGUUAUGUGUAUUCAAAAGGGCGCCAAGCUGCUAAACCAUCCACCAUCUCUCUUACGGGAUAUUUUUUCUCUUUUUUUUCUUCCCUUCCUUCCCAUCUCUCUGAAUCCCCAAUUGUGAAGGAAAAAUGAGAAAAUAGAGCCAUAUACAUAUUUGGGUGGAAUAGAUAGACGCGAUGUAAAUAGCAUAAAAAGCUGGAAGAGAAAAUAUAAUAUAGAUGUACAGUAGAGAGGAGAAAAUUAGGACUUUUAGUAAAAUUUGUAAGGAGAGAGGGAUAAGAAAAUGUUAGUUUUUCCAGCUCUAAUUGAGAUAUCAUUCAUAUCUGCUAAAUUGUGAGUAAUUUUGGUAAUUUUUCUAAUUAAAGCAAAAAAAGUUUAUUAAAUUUAUUUAUUACAUGUUUCUAAAAUUAUUUAAAGCACUGUUCAUUCAUCCUUCGGGUGUUGUUUAGCGCUGGUAUGGAAGCACAUCGCAAUAUAUGGUCUAUAUAAGGGAUUAUGUGGUAACAAAAAUGCCUAAAGAAAAAGGAAGGCCAGCAGAGGAAGAAAAACAUGUAGAAGAGGUCUUCAAGAUUGUAUUUUCGUACAACACAUCGAACUUUAUUGCGGAAACUUCCAAUAAAACUAAUACCGAAAUUAACACCUGAACAAAUGAGUGGCCAGAAAAAAGGAGAAGAAAAAAAAUAACCUCGCACUUUAAAAAUUCAUUGGUAGCAGCAUCGAGACAGCAUGACGAAGAUUUCGUGGACGACAUUAUUUAAUUGUUAUACUCCCGAAGGGAGAGACUUUUUCAAUGCAACCAAAGGGUUAUAUAAAAAUUAAUUUUCACCUUUUUAUGGGCCCCUUUUGGCGGUCCUUGGCUCGUGGUGGCGCGUAAGAAAAAUCCCAAUGUUGCGUGGACGAGAGGAAGAAUCAUGGGUGGUCUCUUGGUCAGUGAUGCACUUCUGGGUGAUUUUAUCCCAAAUCAUCAUGGUGGAGGAGAUACACUCGAUGAGCCACCAGCAUUAAGGACACUUGAACACCUCUGAGUUUUUCGUAUCACAUUCACUAAAAAAUUCCUAUAUGUGUGGUUGUUUAUAUUCCUCAAUCAGCAUUCCCCCGGUCAUCAAUGGGCUGUGUAAGAGUCAUGCGAAAAACUCGAGUAUUACCUUCCAUUCAUUUCUUGCAUCCACCUCUUGGCGUUUAUCUUUCUGAGAAAGCAUAAACCCACAAAUACAUCACUGAUCCAUAGCGUGUGAGACCUUCAACCUUCAACCCGCCUGAGCUGUGUGAAAGACGCAGCAUUUUUCGAAAAUUCAUUCACAUUUACCAUGACUCAGAGGAUCUCCUUUCAACGAACUACUUUAGCUGCAAUUCCCAUUUUUAUUGUUUUAUUAUUGAAGAUGCGCAGAGUAAUUUUCCGGAGAAUCCUUUUUGAUGAGCAAAAAAAUUUUCCAUUAUUGCUUAUUGAUCUUGGCGUGUAUUGAAUCAAUUUAAUGCUUUUCUUCCGUGAUUUGGGCUUUUAUUGAAUGUCUCGGCAAUGUCUGCUAUGAAACGAAAUUUGACCAUUUGUACCCCUGAGUCACGCUUCAGGGGGUCUUCCACACAAACAGCAGACCUGCAAAAGGGGCCCAACCCAAGGUGACACAAAUGGUCAGGAAGAAAAGACAGGGGAAAAGAAAUUCAUUCAUGUUGUGUUGGUACAGUGGCUAUGCAAAUAAAAUCAAUUGACGAGUGAUUUAUUGUUUUCUCACCAGACGAGCUGAUAAAAGCGCCAGAGAGUUCAAUGGAAGGCAACUUUCUUCCAACAUUGUGCGUAAUACCAUCUUCGAACGAUUUCUCUCUGUCUGCAAUUUAUAGAAGAGAGUGGGAAAUAUGGGAGAGAAUUUAAUUUUUUUAUUUAAUUCAAAUAAUUUAAUAUCUUUUUCUUUUUCAUUGGAUUUUUCUUAAAUUACUCAGGAUUUAAUUUCAAACUUCUUUUUGAAUAUUUUUUGAUACAUUUUGAUUAAAAACCUUACCACAUAUUUUUUAAAUAAAAAUCUUUUUCAAAAAAUAAAGUUAAGAAACUUGAACAAAUCUGUUCAUUUUUGUUUUUUACUCAGGAAUUUAUCUUUCUUUUAGGAAAGAAAUUGGCGCACCUAUUCACCCCGAUUGGCAGUAUUUAUACUACAUAACAUAAAACAUAAAAUGCGAAUUCUCAUGCUUAAUUUUCUCAUUUAAAAUAAACCACAAGCAAAAUGUGAAGGGGUUGCGCAUCGGGUCAAAUGAGUGGCAAAAACACGCGACCUCCAUGUAAGAUCACGCUUAUGUUUAAAUCGAAAAUGACACACAAAGCCAAUCCAAUAAAUUAUGAAUUUAUGAGACAACAUUACACAGGGAAAUCGUUGAGUGCUCUUGUGCUCGCACGUGACCACAAAAAUUUCCAAAUGAUCAUAAUUACAGGUAAAGUUGGGAGGAAUUGUAGCACGACAGACACCCGCCUUGUAGCUCCUGCCACUCUGUGACCCUUCAUCCUGAUCAUUGGGUGUCGUCCUUCCUGGGUAACAAAAAAACAACACUGAGAAUUGAAUUAAAAACUUGUGGCACUUUGAGAGGGUGGUUUGUUUUCCAUUAAACGCAUGCACAACGUCCCCAAAAUACAAAAUGCCAAACAAUGUAAAAUUGAAUCAUCAUUUUGAAUUAUGCACAAUGCCCUCAAUUGAGGUAAGAAGAAAAAAAAACUAGACAAAUUAAAUCGCUAUCCAUCACCCUCUCAAUUCCCAACUACAAUUGCAACAAGGAAUUCAUGUUUGCACGAUGCGUACGUUAUCUUGCACGCGGCACCCUCACCUCGGACCCGGUGUAAGGGGUGCAGUUCUCUCUCUAGUACUGGUACCACGCAAAAAGCACCCAGGACCUAUGAGAGCAUUCCUUAGGGGGUGGUUGAUAGAGGGAUAAAGGGAAAAGCGAUCUAAAUUGCUUUUCCGCACAUGUACACAAAGGCUAAACAACAAUAUAAGUAACUGAAUUGCCGGUUAUUUUUCUCUGAUUUUCCAUGCGGAUUUCCACGGCUUUCCCACGAGUCUCAUGAAAUUAAUCAACAACUUGGCUGAAGUAGGGGAAAACCAAUGCACAUAGCAAGCAUGAUGAUGCUGCGGGUGGAAAAAUAACCUGCAGGAAGAAUAAGAAACAGGAUUUUUUUUAUAUGGUGAAGAAAAUUUUGAUUUCUUUAUUCACAUUCUGUUAAUUUUUUUUAUAUCAUUUUAUAAUAAACUUUUUUAUUUAUAUGA